rnacentral:tRNA from 1 species
GCGGGUAUGGCGGAAUUGGUAGACGUGCUAGACUUAGGAUCUAGUGCCGUAAGGCGUGGGGGUUCGAGUCCCUUUACCCGCACAA